GUCCAGUGUAGCCUGGUGGACAUGGCAUCUGCCCGGUAAGCGGAACACUGUGGGUUCGAUUCCCAUGCCUGGACA
rnacentral:tRNA from 1 species